AAGUCGUAACAAGGUUUCCGUAGGUGAACCUGCGGAAGGAUCAUUACACAACCUCCGUCCCCGCCGCCGAGGGGCAACCCCCGCGCGGCCGGCGACGCCAGGUCAACCCUUGAAUAAGCUACCCUCGUUGCUUUGGCGGGCCGCCCCCCGGGCCAGCGGCCUCGGCUGCUGCGCGCCCGCCAGAGGACCGCAACUCUUGUCUUCAGUGAUGUCUGAGCACUAUAUAAUAGUUAAAACUUUCAACAACGGAUCUCUUGGUUCUG
rnacentral:misc_RNA from 1 species